CUGUCCACCCCUGUAAAAUUCACUAUAAAAGUUGGGCUAUUCGGGCAAUAAAAUGGUGAAGCAUGAUCUGACUCUGCUGGUGUCUGUCGUGCUUUCGUCCGUGCUUCGCAACAGGGGAACAGUUUGUAUCUCCAAACUUUUCCAAAGUAUAUAAAAUAUUUGAUUCCACCACAAACUUGGGAAAUCAGGUCUGCCACUGGCACAAGACUGAAUCUUUUUCUUAUGUGAAAUUCUGACAGGACUCCUUUGUGACAGAAGUGUUUAGGUAUUGACUGAAAUUUUUUGUUUUCAUCUCUUUUCUGAAGAAUUCAGCUUAGAUAAUCAACAUUUUAAGCCAUACAAAUUAGGAAAGCGUCUUCUGAUAAUGUUUUGCUAGCAGGAGUCAGUGAGAAGGACUUUUUUAUGAGCAUGUGCUUUGGUAAAUAAACAUGCGUUCCUCUGUUGUAUUUAAUGUCUAUAAGGGAAGAAACCCUACCAGUAGAAGUUUUCAUGCCCUUUUUUCUCCAAAAACAUACAGGUGUGUUUAGAGUAUGCAAAUCUUUUUAUCUCUGCUUACAGAAACCCUACUGCUACACCUCCUGGUGUCUCUUAAUCUUUAAUGUUUCUGUCUUUAAAUGGCUCUCCUUCGUGUCUUCUUCCCCCAGCAAGACAAGCACUUAUUUUCCCAUUUUAGGUAUGAGGAGCUGAGGUUAGAUUUUCAGUUCCCAGGUACAAAAAAAAAAAAGAACAGCCCAGAGGGAAGAAUCCCAGGUUAGAUGAUUUUAGCUUAAAUGCAAACAGAACAGAUGAAUGACAUGAUACUGGGGACAUACAUGUCUUUGCUUAGCCUCAUUCCAUCCAACAACUGUCCUCAAUAUAUACUGCACAAUUUUAGUGCUGGUUUAAAGCUCCUCAAAGUUCUCUACAGUGAAUAGAAACUGGUUCUUCUUAUAGGUCAAUGAUAAGUACUGGACUACUGGAGAUGACUACAGAAGAAUGUACAGAUGUCCUUCAUCUCAGCUCACCUGAGAUGACAUCAUGUUUCUUCUAUCAGAUGAAAUAGAGUGUCUCAGGAACUACAUCUGGCUGCUACUGUCGUUGCAGCGAGGCUAGGGAUGAAGUGUGCAGGUGAUCCUGGUGCUUCAGUGUGGGCUGCCUCCCUGGCAGCACAGAUCCUCUCUCCAUCGCCUGUUGCUUCUUGCCUGGUUAUUCAUUGCCUUCCAGUGUUGCCCCCAGAUGGGGCAAUACCUGUUUUCUUUCUGGAGAGCGAUUUGCCUGUCCUAAACAUCUGUCUAUUUUGCCUUUCCCAGAGCCGGCUUGAACUGUUUAAAUGCGACGCAUCAGGAUCACAUGGAACAAUUCCCAUAUUCAUUAUAGUAUGUCUGGGACAACUCCAGCCAUUGUUUCAAGACAACUUCGUAUUUGAGAUAGUUAAUGUGUUUUAGCUCUUUUUAAUAUGAUUUAGUAGCUGGGUGUAAAAACAACAAAUCAGACAUGCUAUCAGCCAAUUCACUGAAUGCAGGAGUUUGGAAAUCUUGCCUGUACAGACCCUUGUCUUUCACACACUCAUUCAGUGAGGUGAGCCCCCCCCAUCACUCUCUGGAGAGAACCGCAGCCCUUCCCUGUGCCUGCAGCCCCUUCUCCCCAGGCUGAAAAGGCCAGCAGGACAAGAGUGCCCUGGCUCAGGCUUCUGCCCCAGGGCCCCGUGUUGCUGCAGGUGAGCUCAGACCACGCUUCCAGGUUUAGAGGUCCACACCUUGAUGUUCUCACAGGGAAAAUGUAAGUAUUUGUAUUAGGUCAUGUAAUUUUGUAUUGGUGUGUUGUGCAAUUUACAGAUAGUAAUUUCUAUUCAUUUCUGGCUGGUAUGAUGUCCAGCACUGUGUGGAUGUUAUUAUCCAUACAAUGGCAGAUCUGAAGAGGGCUUGGGAGCCCAGCACUCAGCUGGGACAAAUCAACAUUGCUGUAUUUAUGUGAGAGAAGUGAUAUUGUUUUACCAUAGCUACAACACAUCCAUUUCUGAGCAUGUUUGCUAUUGUUAAUACUCACCUUGGUGAUAACUAGAUAACUGUGCAGUUACUCACAAAAUUUCUUGCUUGCAUUUUUACAGUCUUUCCCCUUCCCACCUCCUACCUCCUCUGCUUGGCCACAGUUAUUUAUACAGCUUGGUAUUGCUUUUCAUUAAAUAUAUCUUUUCCAAAUGUCUGUUUAGGUUUACCUGAAUUUUAUGGGACUGUCUUGGAAAUGUUGAAUAAAAUUCUGACUUUCAUCUCUUGUCUAGACUUCUGCUAAACCUCCAGGGCAUUGUGGAUGACAAGUGACAGCUUUUAAGAUGAACUUUUUCUAAAAAGUUUUUUAAUCCUCCUAAGGAAACCCUUCUGAAGAAAAUGAAUCCAAAAUGUGUUCACAAACCACCACAUUCUCUCUCUUGACCUUCUGGAUAAUUCCCCAGGACAAUUUCAGCAAAAUGUCAGCAACCAGUGUGGAAUGAGCAACACUGUGGAAGGGCCCUGGCUAACUGUCUCUGAAGGCAACCGCAAAGUAAGUGACUUGCAAGUUACCAGAUUCACACUGAAGGGAGGAAAGUUUAGUUUCUCUCCUUGAGACAAUGAAAGCAAGACAAAAUGUGAAUAAGAGAGCUUAGGCAUUUUGGAGAGGUCCUUCAGAAAUACAUACUGCAAUAGCAAUGUCUUCCUUAAUUAAUUAUGCAGUCUGAAUCCUUUCCAUUAAGCACUUGGCAAAAGUAUUACCCUCUAGCUCUCCCUACUGGAUUAUUAUUACAUAAUUUCUAUAUUUAAUGUGUGUGAAUGUAUCUCUUUUAAACAACUAAUUAAGCAAUAACCCAAAUAUCUCACUAUAUGGUAUAGAUGCUUCAUAUUUUAUGUGCAUUCUGACAGUUAUGGCCAUGGCUUGUUUAUUUUAUUUUGUUUAUUUUGUGAUAUAUUAGAAAAGAUACUAUUUCUUCUUCUGCAGUUUACAAAGAGUCAUUCUAGAGCAUGAGGCUAUUUCUCAUAGGUGAGACUUCUAAAAACACCUAGGUGAUUUUUAAGAAUUCAAGAUGAUUUUUCAAAUGUGAUUUGGAUGCUUAGAUGCCUAAAUCUUAAUGUCUUUCACUGAAAUUUAGUUGUCCAUUCAAAAAAUCUUUUAGUAACAUUUAAUCACAUGCUGUUCUAAUUGAAUUGAUUUUUUUAAAGCUAAAGGAAAGACUAGUCUAUUUGGAUUUCAUCUUUCUGCAAUACCCAGUUGAAGUUCUCUGUUCUUUCCAGGGGAAAAUGUCCAGCAUGGGUAUUUUAGGUUUGAAAUGCCUUUCUUUCUGAUAUGAAAUGCAAACUUGUAUAUAUUCUACUAGAGCAAAAUGCACAGCUCUUCUGCCUACCACUGAUAAAUCAAGGCAAACAAAUUAUGCAAUGGGACCAUUCUGCAAAUCGUGCUCAGUGGAUAGCAUGUAAAAGGAGCAUCAAGGCAACUCUGCAAGGAAAAUCUUCAGACUGAAUUUUAUUAACUAAAAUGGAUAUGGGGCUGCUGGGAUAUGAACAUGCCAUUCUGGGGCAAACUAAUUGCCUGUUCAGCAACUAAAAGCAAGAUACCUUUGUUCUUAUAAAACUGCAGAAGGAAGCUGGAAAGAAGCAAGGUAUAAAUUAGGAUUUUGACAUUACUAAUAUGUAAUUAUGUGUAUAUAAUAUGUAUAUAAUAUGUUCUGGUUUUGACAUCAGUAAAUAAAGGUAACUUGCACAGCAAAUAUGCUGUGUUGAGUUACAGGUUUCAUCUCUCCUAAUAACUAUGUAAUUUUCUUAAGUCUCCAUGGCACAUACUUUUUGAUUUUUUCAUUAAAAAAAUAAUAAUUGUUGGUCACAUAACACAUUAUUAGAAGAAUUGUAAAGAAGGAGGAGAGAGAAGCAAUUUUAAUAAUGCCACAAAUUAUACUACUACUCCUGAAUGUUUGUGUUGGAUUUCAUAUGAUGCAUGAGAAUCUGACGUGUCCUGUGGGGGCUAGUUUACAUUUUUUAAUGAAGGGUUACAGUACUCUGGACCAAUAGUUUAUUUAGUUUUGCACAAGUGAGGUAAAUAUUUAUUAAACAUUUGACUCAUUGCAUUUUGUGGAACCCUUGCACUCCAAACCUGUAUGAUUCACAGUAUACCAAAAGCAAAUAUAAUACCCCUAAAUCAUACCUGCGUAUUAAAAGAAAAUCUGUCAGUGCUUUUAUUCCCAGCUCUUUACCUUGUAUCACGCAAGAGAAAAAAGAAGCAAGCAAGAAAGCAGGCUGCUACUCAGAAAUGAAUUCACUGGGUUCUUUUGUUAGGAAGUGCUUGUCUGGAUUGGCUAGGCAAAUAAUGAACUUGAGUAAACAUGCUCUUGGUUUUUAGAACUUAUAGCCCCUGAUUUAAAAAUAAAUAAAUAAAUAAUAAUAAUACUAAUAAAAUAACCACAUAUUACCUCUCUCUUGUGUGUGUGCGUGCUAGAAAGGUACAUCAGAUCAGUGGUGUAUUCAGAUUAUAUAUCUGGUACCAUGAUUUCCUAUAUACAGCUUAUAUUUAUAUUGACUUUAUUCCAAGACUUUAAUUCUAAGACUUUAUUCCAAGAGAUGUCAGUGACAAGAGUGUACCUCAGCUGAAAGGUUAUUUCAGAGACUGACCCACUCCCUGCUGGAGGUGCUAGAUUCAGUAAAGGGUGCAUGUGUCUCACUAUUCCAUUAAAAAACAAAAGUCACUAGGACACGUAAAAGGUGUCCCUUGAUCCCAUCAAAAUUACAGGAUUUUUGCUCCCAUUGCUCCUAAAGACCUUUAAAGUAGACCUUGCUAAGCUUAUGAGAGGCACUCACAAACUGCUUGUGCUCAGAACCCUGCACAGAUUUCCAGAGUGACAUUUCUGUGAAGUAAAUUGGCAGCUACAGACAUAUUGUCUUUUUGCUUGUUUGCUUUCUGGUCUUCUUUGUCUCAAAUUCUUCCCUGCACAGGGACAUGAUUCCACAAUACAUGAAUGAAAAUAAAAGUAGCUGAUAACCUAGUGGUAAUUUCAAUAUUUGAGGAGAUGAGUUUGAAUCCCUGUGUGCUAGACACACAAAAACUGUGGUCUUCCAUCUCCUACUUCAUCCAUCUUUUAAAUAAGCAUGUAUGCAAUCUCAUUUUGUGUUGAACUUGAACAGAUUGUGCUAUAGAAAUACUUUCUUGAGACUCUCUCUAAACAAAAAGUACAGAGAUUGUACAGUUCAAGUGGUCUGAAAGUUAUGCAGUGUUAAUCAGUUCUGUGCUUCUUAAUUCUGUUUUCAAAUUUGGCCAUAGCUGUCUUUCUAUUCACUUUUGUGACACUUGAUUGAUUUUGUUAUUAACAUUAGAAGUCCUGGGAUCAGAUAUUUCUGUGUUGAACAGACAUACAUCAACACAAUUCUACUGAAAUGUACAUUGAUUUGCAUCAGUGUUUUUAGUUUAGAAAAAUGUUUACAUUUGGGGGUUAACAUCUCUCUAUGUAUAUAAGAUAGAUAAAAAUGUUAUUUAUAUAUAUUUGCAUUUUACUCUGAUAUAAAUGAAUGUAUAUCUUUAUCUUUCUGAUACGUGACAUUUACUUAUAGAUCUGCAGUUACGUUCUGUCUCCAGACAAAAACUGUAAAGCCAGCUUUUCCUGAGUACAAGGAAAUCCAUCUUGAAACUUUAAUUACAGAAUAAUCUAUCAAUGACAAAUUACCAGAGGGUGGAUAUGUCACUCACAGUGUUGGCAUGUAAUUUCAGAGAACACAACUGAAAUCACUGGAGAUUAACAGAUCUGAGUAUUUGUUUGCACUUAACAGACAAAGGGAACAUAACUGAUAUGAAGAAAUUUCUGCAUGGUUUCUAUAUUAAGAGAUUAGUUGGAAAUUUCUUCCCUCUUGAAGAAAAAGCAGGCACCAGAGUGAGUCUACAUCUUUUGCAAAGUCAGUAGAAAUUCUACUGAAACAAGUAAUCACUUGACUACUAGCUUUUUUAUUAUUAUUAUUUUUUAAUUGUGUAGGGGUUCAUGAAGUCUCCACACUGGAUGAAUUCCUCAGCAGCUUUUUAUUUGUCUAAUGGAGACAGCUCUUGCAGCCUCAUAUCAGUUUCUCUUUUAAGAGUGUGUUUGACUGGAGAGGCUUCUGUGAGGAUAUGAGAAGUAAGGGUGUUUUUUUCUACAGUUAUGUAAUUUAAAUAAUGAUUUUAUAUGUCUUGUAACUGAUCGGGUGCAUGUGCAUUUUCAAAAUAGUGGUUCUAUGUAGAGUUCCUAUAUAACUGUCAUUUGGGCUAAAGAUUAUGGUAUAUUCUGUAACAGGAAAUGCACUGGCAAAUAUUGUACAACUAUUUGUUGUAAUGUUUUUCACUUAGCUGAUUAGUAAAAGCUCUUAAAAAAAUAAAAAAUAUAAUAAAAAAAUAAAAUAAAAAAUAAUAAAAAAAUAAUAAAAUAAAAUAAAAUAGAA